rnacentral:lncRNA from 1 species
AAAUUUUUGAGAUUUUACGAAAAAUUUUCUGAGUUCUCGGUUUAAUCCCGACUUGUUUUAAAUGUGUAUUUUGGGCAUUGAGGGCCCAUUUAAAGGACAAUAUGAUUGAUGUCAGAUAUGAAUAGUAAAUGAUAUAAAUUAACUGUAUUUGUUCUGUAAACUCCAGUAAUGCUUCAUAACCCUAUUCUGACGACAGAUAUGGGUUAGGGGUGUUACAUUUAUUGGUAUCAAAGCUACGAUUUAACUAAUUCUCAAACUAACAUAGCAAAUACGAGUCUAGCUAUACAUGCCAUUUUAUACUCUGUGAUAGCGUGAUAUCUCCCUACCAUUUUAAAUAUGUUUUUCAUAUAGUAAUGUCAUCCAACCGAGCUGAAUCUGAAAAAGUUGAGAGCAAUGCUCAAGCUUCAGUACAAAGAGCAACAUCUAGUAGUAGAAGGCCUGUAUCUAAGGGCCAAUGAGGAAAGGCAAAAGAAGCCUUCUUCCAAAUGAUGAACAAAUGGUUUAUAGAAUUUGUAAGUACAAAUCUAGCUGUACAACAACCUCCCCCUCUUGUUUCUCAACCGGUUCUCGAUAUGCCACAAGGUAUAGAACUUGUUAGAACUGGUAAGCCUCAUGUAGAUAAAAUCUGUAAAUAUGAGGUCGAAAAAUUCAGAGCAACAACUGAAGAUGAUCCUGAAAGGGUCGAAUUAUAGUUAGAAAAUACUAUCAGGGUUCUGGAUGAAUUAUCUUGUACAUCGGUCGAAUGUCUAAAAUAUGUUGUAUCCUUGUUAAAAGAUUCAGCUUACCAAUGGUGGAAUACACUGAUUUCCGUUCUGCAAAAAGAACAGAUUACAUGGGAAUUUUUCCAAACUCAAUUCAGAAAUAAAUAUAUCAGUCAGUGUCAGAGAAUGCAUCCCGACCAAAGUCGCAAUGUGUAAGCGAUUUGAAGAAGGCCUGAAUGAAGACAUAAAGCUGUUAGUUAGGAUUCUGGAAUUAAAAGAAUUUGUCAUAUUGGUCAAUCGAGCUCAUAAAGCUGAAGAGCUGAGUAAAGAAAAGAGACAAGCCGAGCUGGAAAUCAAAACUUCAAGUAAAAUAUUUGCUAGAAAGUCAUAUCAGUCGGCCUCAAAGAAGUCAAAGAAAGAUUAUGACCGCUCUGUUACCUCUGCAGGAUAUUCUGGGAAAAGUAAGAGCUAGAACACCCCUAACCUUUAUCCGUUACCGGAACAGGGUUACGGAGCAUUACCAAACUUUACUAAUUAAAUACGGACAUUUCCCAACUUUUGUUACACAUAUUAAAAAUCAAUUAUAUAACACACAUAUUAUCCCUUAGAUGAACCUUCGAGGCCCAAUAUUCACCUUAGAAGUGAAUCGGGACUAAACCGGAUACUUAGGGAAUUUUUCCCAAAAUUUCAAAAAUUUUCUUAGAAGCAGGGGACACAUGCCCGUGUCUCUGCCCGUGUGAACAAAAAUAAGCCAUUUUAAGGCCACUUUUCUCACCUAUUUUGACAUUAACUUGUACUCAACAUUCACAUACACCAAUAUAUCCCAACCAAGCAAUCAAUACAAGCUAAAACAUGUUCUCAACAUGACCUAACAUCACAAAUAUUUCAUUUACUUAUACCUACCUAUUUAACUCAUUUCAUUGAUUUAUCAAAUUCUACUACUAAUUAUAUGUAUACAAACAUUUAACAUUCACAACGACAAUUCAAAUUAUUUCAUUGCCAAACCAACCCUAUACAUGCCAUAUAAACCAAAAUUUACAUUACAAAAACUACCGGAAUAAACUGGAUAGUGUAGCUUGAUGUGUUGAUCCAAUCUUCUGACUACAUGUUAAUCUACAAGAACAUUAAACAACACGAGUAAGCUUAAUAAAACUUAGUAAGUUCAAUAGGUUAAACAUUGAUCUUAUUGAACUUAAUAUAAUAUGAUAAAUUAAAUUAUAAAUAAAUCAUACAUUUUUCCCUGUCAAAUACAACAUAAUCAAUAAACACACUUCCUUCAGAUCAAUAUCAAUAAUAAUUUAUAAAUCUUUCAAUUCAAUCACAUAAGUCUUUUACCAUUUUUUAUUGAAUCGAAGAAUGACUUACGGAUAUGAGUACAUCGUUCUUUUUGUGCCAUAGUCCAACUAUGGUCUUACAUAUGCAUUGUCAUGGCCUUGCCGUGGUCUUACAUUUGUAGUGCCAUAACCCAGUUAUGGUCUUAUCAUCAGAAUGUCAUAGCCCAACUAUGGUCUUACACAUGUAUCUAUAUUGCCAUGGUCCAACCAUGGUCUUACAUUAAAGGUGUCAUAACCCAGUUAUGGUCUUUUCAUUAAAAUUCCAUAGCUCAUUUAUGGUCUUACAUUUAAAUAUUACCAUGGUUCAACCAUGGUCUUAUCCGUCAAUUCAUUAUUUGCCACGGAAUGAUCGUACUCAAUCCUGCGUUCUACUCGUUUUAAACAUUCAAUUCAAUUUUCAUACUUCUACAAUAAUCUUAAUUUCAACAACAAAACAUGAAUAAAUAUAUUAUACAAUUCCUAAAUUGACAUAAUCAUGAAAGUUUAACCAUAUGAACUUACCUGGGUUGGAUUGUAAAAUUGAUAAUAGUUCAGAGACUACUCGGCUAAUUUCCCUUUUUCUCAUUGAUCUACGAGCUCUUGAUAUGAAGUAAAAAUAUAAAAACCAACUUAAGAAGCUCUCUAAUGGCUGUUUUUGGCUGAGAAUUGAAGAAAAAUUACCUUAAAAUCUUUAGAUUUCUUUUUAUUUAAGCUUAAUUUUACCAAAUUUACAAUUUUGCCCUUAAAUCACCUAAUUCCAAGAUUUUUUUCUGCUUAUGCUGCCUCAGCCAUUUCUUGGGAUACAUCCAUCAAUAGAAAACGGGUCCGCCAAGAAUUGCUUCAUGUGGGAGAUGGAUUAUCAAGUGAACCAUAAUGGUGAAGAAGGUGGGAAGAUUUUCUCCAUGUUGUAUAAAGUCAAAGCGGCUCAAUCCUGUACCUUCUGAAGUUCUUGAACAUCCAAAACUUUGCCACAAAUGGCUUUCAUUAUAUUGGAUAGUUCAAUUAUACAAGACGUCACCUUCUUGGACAUACAUCGUAGAGCAACUGGUAGUAAAUCUUGCAUCAAGAUGUGAUAGUCAUGUGAUUUUAGCGAAUAUAAUCUUCGAUCUUCAACACUAACACAUCGAGAUAUAUUUGAUGCAUACACAUCUGGAACCUUUAUAUCCUUCAACACCAUGCAAAACAGUUCUUUCUCCGUCUUGGACAUUGAGAAAAUAGAAGGCGGCAACUGAUAUUUCCCAUUCGGAAGUGGAUUGGGAUGAGGAUCAGGCCGAAUUCCCAUUUGGACUAAAUCAAGUCGACUCUGAAGAUUGUCUUUUGAUUUUUCGUCGAAAUUCAGAAUUGUACCCACAAUGUUCUCGCAGACAUUUUUCUCAAUGUACAUAACAUCAAGAUUGUGCCGUAAAAGGUGAUGCUCCCAAUAAGGCAACUCAAAAAAAAUACUUCUUUUUUUCCACAAGUCCACCUCAUUAGGAUCGUCCUCUUCAUCAGAGUCAUCAUCAGCUUCAUCAUUUGAUCUUCUAUUUCUUUGCGUGUUUGGCGGUUGGUUCAUCUUCCCAUAAAUAAAAUUCAUAUCUUCCAACAUGAACAAGAUUUCAGAGCCACUGGUCUGCGAAGGAGCUUCUCUGAACUCUUCAGUGCCGUCAAAUACAUAACUUUGAAAUCUAAAUCUAUGAUUUUCCGGUAACCACCGACGAUGCCCCAUGUAAGAGAACUUCUUCCCAUUGUACAACCAUUGCGAACAUGUUUGUGCAGCACAAUAAGGACACGCAUAACGACCCUUGGUACUCCAACCGAAUAAAUUGGCAUAAGCGGAAAAGUCAUUAAUGGUCCACAUCAAAGCUGCACAUAAAUUAAAGUUCUCAUUUCUUAGCACAUUGUAUGUCUCGACACCAGCCCAUAAUUGUUUUAACUCUUCAAUAAGUGGCUGUAAAUAAAUGUCGAUAUCAUUCCUAGGCCCUUUCUCCCUAGGGAUAAUCAUAGAUAAGAUAAGGGAAGAUUGCUUCAUGCAAAUCCACGGAGGCAGAUUGUAAGGAACAAGCACUACUGGCCAACUACUGUACGCAGUGCUCAUGAUCUUGAAAGGAUUAAAUCCAUUAGAUGUUAGCCCAAGCCUCACACUCCUAGGAUCGUUUGCAAAGCUUGAAAAUUUAUUGUCAAAUGAUUUCCAAGCUAAAGAAUCUGUCGGAUGCCUUAGUAAUCCAUCAUCGGUUCGUCUAUCAUGGUGCCACGUCAUUGACUCUGCUGUCUUCGACGACAUGAAAAGCCUUUGAAGCCUUGGUAUCAGCGAAAAAUACCGCAAAAUCUUGACUAGCUUUUUUCUAGACUGUGCAUCAUUUUCAUCAUUGUUCCCAUCUUCUGUGUUUCUACUUAUCCAACGGGAGUGGCCGCAUACAUGACAACACUGUUGGUUUCUCCGAUCGCCCCAAUACAACAUGCAUUCAUUUGGGCAACUAUGGAUUUUGUUGUACCCAAUGCCUAAAUCUUUUAUCAUUUUCUUCAUAUCUUUGCAUGACUGGGGGAUUUUUGCAAAUGGAAACAUUUCACUCAAAAACUCUAACAGCAUUGUCAACAAGUUUUCGGUCUACCCUCCCAAACAUUUUAAUUGAAAAAGACGAACACAGAAGGACAUUUUUGAAAAUUUUGAUCCUUCAUACAGUUCUUCGUUCAUGUCAUUAAGUAGUGCGUAGGACUUUGCCGCUUCUCCAUUCGGCUCUUCAUGACGUACACUACUUCCCGGUUCGGUAAAAACAUUUCCACCAAUAUUACAAUCAUCAGAUGCCACAAAGUCCGCCGGGAACGACUGGACACCAUGAUUGUGCAUAUUAAAUGCAUCCCGCAACAUACCUUCCAUGUCAUCCCCUCUAUUAGACUGAUGGUAAGCAGUAUCAGGAUAAGAUACAUCCAUCCUUGAAGAGGAAGUACUAGGCGGGCAUUCUCCAUGAAAUAACCAUUGUUUAUAACCCCGAACAAACCCAUCAACAAUUAGAUGCUUGUAUACAACCUCACGAUAAUGCCAGUUUAUGUUGACACAAUUCUUACAGGGGUAAAGAAUCAUGUUCUCUUGGCUUGCGUAUUGAAAUGCAAAAUUUAGAAACGUCUGUACUCCAUUUCGAUAACCGUUGCUUACCCUUGACAAAUUCAUCGAAGACCGGUCCAUUUCUUAAUUAUUAUUGAAGUCUGAUUUUCACCAGAAAUUACAACGUUCAGUUCUUCACUUAUAAGUAUAAAUGAGUUAUGUAAGUUAUGUAAUGUAUUAUGUAAGUUAUGAAAGUAAUGUAUUAUGUAAGUUAUUUAAGUUAUGUAAUAAGUUCUGUAUUAUAUAUGUAAGUUAUUUAACUUAUGUAUUAUGAAAUUUUAUCUUAAUAAUAUAUAAGUUAUCUAAACUUAGAAAUUGAUGUGUAAUUAGAAAUUUUAUCUUAAUAUAAUAUAAGUUAUGUAAUGAGAAAUUAAUAUUAUCUAAGUUAUGUUAUUAGAAAUUAAUAUUAUAUAAGUUAUGUAAUUAGAAAUCUUAUCUUAAUAUUAUAUAAGUUAUCCAACUCAAUUAUAUAAGUUAUCUUAAUAUUAUAUAAGUUAUGUAAGGUUAUGUAUGAAAGCUAUGCAAGUUAUGUAAUGUAUCAAUUUUAUGUAUGUAGGUUAUGCAAGUUAUGUAAUGUAUCAAUUUUUAAAAAUAUAAGAUAAAUUAAAUAAAUAUAUAUAAUUAAUAAGUUAAAAUAAAUUUUAAUAAUAGAUUAUAAUACAUAACCUCACCAUAACAUCACCGUUACAGCCUUGCAUAUUAAACAUUUAAGUUAUUUAAGUAAUGUAAGUUAUAAAUUUUAAAAAUAUAUUUAUUAAUAAGUUAAAUUAAAUUUUAAAAAUAUAUUUAUUAAUAAGUUAAAUUAAAUUUAUUAAUAAGUUAUGUAAUUUAUGUAAACACAAUUGCUAAUUCAUUGACAUUCAAUGAAUUAAUCGAUCAAAUUAUUGUAUGAAAAUGAUUAUUAAACACUAACAUUCAAUCAGUUAAUCGCAUCUAACAUCGAAAGUUUAUUAAUUUAGGAGUAAAUUUGAUAACUCAUUUCUUUGCCAAAAUCGAUAAAUUUUUCACAUUAAACCGAAUAAACUAAUCGCCCAUAAUUUAUUCAAAUACUCAAAAACAUAAAGUGCUUUAAGAAUUAGCAUAAUCCGAAAUUUAGUAAACUCUGUAGAUUGUUUUUGUUUGGGUAAACAAUUCGUGGAGACAUAUCAAAUCAUAAUUUAAACAUCGCAAUAAUGUAAUCAGGUAGUUGCAAAGUUACAUGCACAAAUUAUAAGUAAACAGAUACCCAUAGGUUCAAAACCAAAAAAGCUUAAUUAAAACUCCCUUUUAAUACUCAAAAAAAAUAAGUAAACUAUUAAGCUAAAAUAUAUCAAAAUCAGAAAUUUAAACAUUUGGAUGUGUUUUUGUAAGAAAACUAUGUAGGAAACAUAGGAAUAAAUACCUCAAAUUUCCUCAAAUUCGAAGCAAACUUCUGCAAAAAAAAUAACAAAACACAACUAACUUAAUUAGUACCAAAAAAACAGGAAAAAAUACAACAGAAGUAAACAGAGGAUUAUUUAACUACAUUUAGAUUCAAAUCAAUGUAUCAAUUUUAAUUAUCACAACAAUCAACUUAAUAUGAAUUGAUAAAGUAACACUCAAUAAUUGAAUUGUACGAUUCAAUCAAUUGAAAUGAAGGUUAAUGUCUCAACUCUCGAGUAACUAACAAACACAUAACCCGUGGCAGCAUGCAUUCUCAUCCAAUAAUAAUUUUUUGUAACUACAGCCAAACAAUCAAUAACAAUCAUUCUCAUCCAAUAAUUUUUUUUUGUAAAGUUUGAAAGGUAAAUAAAUCUUAUACCAAAUUCUAAUGACAAACAUGCUGAGCUAAGUGUGAUGAAAGAAAAAAAGAAGAAAGUUUUUAAGCUCUGUACUAAUAAAAGCUCUGUAGUCUGUACUAAUAAAAGCAUGGCAAAAGGAACAGUAUCUACAAUUUCUUUCUUUAAUAGAUGGUAAAUUCACUAAUUGAAAAGCACCAGUUUUUGCCUACUGCUCCUUGAAGAUAUACAAGUAUAUACUGCCUGAAAGUAAAAUAUAGUGUAAGAACUAGUCCUUAAAUUUUAGAUUUUUGUAGUUUUCUAAUAAGGUUAAUUAAGAUUUAGUUGACUUGGGGUUUUUCAUCACUUCAUAAGAAAAGAUAAGAUUCCCUCGGUUUUCACGGGAGGCAAACAAACAUAGAACGAACUAAGAAACCCAUCUAGCCAACAUCCUUAUCAAGAAAUCAAGAUAUCAAUCAAACUGCUCAAAAAUUCAAAAGGCGAAUCAUAAAAGAAAAAAAAAUCGUUACCAUACCACAAGAAAAAAGAGAAAAGAAAACCUGGGUUUUGUUUGUUUAAGCAAUAAGUUGGAUUAAGAACAAGAAAGAAAACUGAAACAAUCCGUAUGAAAAAAGGAGGCAAAAAUGAAAGAAAAUAACAAUCCGUAUAAAAAAGCAUGCAAGCAAUAUGAUGAGGAUCAACAUAAGCAUCUGACUUAUGUACUUAAGAACUUCAUCGCUGAAGUCAAAAUCCUCAUGCAAAUCUCCCUCGUUCACACUCAAGGAAGGCACUGAAUUUCCCAGAAUCGGAACAGGUUAUCAACAUUUAGUCCUACUAUAUCAGAACAGGUUCCAAAGGAAGGCACUAAAUUUCCCGGAACCAUCCAUGACUAUCAAGUUCCCAACCUAAAGACCUUAAAACAUCAAAACAAUACAACAUCAAACAUAGUGAAAACAUGGAUUAAAAUAAAAAACCAAAAUUCUUUUAGACAUUACAAUAACAGUAACAUAAAACAAAAUUCCUUAAGAACAUAAAAAUAAUACAGCAUCAAACAUAAGUAAAACUGGGUUUAAAGUUUAAACUAAAACUUAAAACUUUGGGGCUUCAUAAUAACAAAAAGAUAAAAUUCUUCAACAGUUCAUAACAUAAAAAUAAUACCUUUGAACAGUACAUAACAUUUAAAAAGAAAACAAGAACAAAACUUUGGACAACAUAAAACAUAAAAUAAGAUGUUUUUAAGUACACAAGAAUUAUCUGGUUGAUUUGCAAGCCAUAGUAUAGCUCAAAAAUUUCAAUUCAAAUGAAAACUAAAGUUGGCUUACCUUGAACUUGUUUAUUUGAAGGGUUUGGGUCGGAAGUUGCAGAAGAAUCUAAGUGAAGAGAAGUAGAGAACAACAACAACGCGUCGUGGAACUGGAGCCUGGAGGUGGGUUUUUGAUUUGGGGGAAAAAAAAGGGAGGAGGGAAGGGGUUAGGGAUUUUGAAGUCUGAAUUAAGGGCUGGGUGCGGGAAAGGAAGGGGGAAAACUAGGCUAAGCAAAACGACAUCGUCUUAGUUAAUAAAUUUUAAGUCCCUGAAAUGAAACGGUGA